rnacentral:rRNA from 1 species
GACGUAGGGCGCGAGCGUUGUCCGGAAUCAUUGGGCGUAAAGCGCGUGUAGGCGGCUCGGUAAGUCUGCUGUGAAAGUCCAGGGCUCAACCCUGGGAUGCCGGUGGAUACUGUCGAGCUCGAGUCCGGAAGAGGCGAGUGGAAUUCCUGGUGUAGCGGUGAAAUGCGCAGAUAUCAGGAGGAACACCGAUGGCGAAGGCAGCUCGCUGGGACGUGACUGACGCUGAGACGCGAAAGCGUGGGGAGCAAACAGG